rnacentral:rRNA from 1 species
AGUGAACGCUGGCGGUAGGCCUAACACAUGCAAGUCGAACGGCAGCACAGUAAGAGCUUGCUCUUACGGGUGGCGAGUGGCGGACGGGUGAGGAAUACAUCGGAAUCUACUUUUUCGUGGGGGAUAACGUAGGGAAACUUACGCUAAUACCACAUACGACCUACGGGUGAAAGCAGGGGAUCUUCGGACCUUGCGCGAUUGAAUGAGCCGAUGUCGGAUUAGCUAGUUGGCGGGGUAAAGGCCCACCAAGGCGACGAUCCGUAGCUGGUCUGAGAGGAUGAUCAGCCACACUGGAACUGAGACACGGUCCAGACUCCUACGGGAGGCAGCAGUGGGGAAUAUUGGACAAUGGGCGCAAGCCUGAUCCAGCCAUACCGCGUGGGUGAAGAAGGCCUUCGGGUUGUAAGGCCCUUUUGUUGGGAAAGAAAAGCAGCAGGUUAAUACCCCGCUGUUCUGACGGUACCCAAAGAAUAAGCACCGGCUAACUUCGUG